UACGGAGGGUGCAAGCGUUAUCCGGAUUCACUGGGUUUAAAGGGUGUGUAGGCGGAUUUUUAAGUCAGUGGUGAAAUCUCCGGGCUCAACCCGGAACUGCCAUUGAUACUAUUAGUCUUGAAUUCUGUUGAGGUGGGCGGAAUACAUCAUGUAGCGGUGAAAUGCUUAGAUAUGAUGUAGAACACCGAUUGCGAAGGCAGCUCACUAAGCAGACAUUGACGCUGAGGCACGAAAGCGUGGGGAUCAAACAGG
rnacentral:rRNA from 1 species